AGAGUUUGAUUAUGGCUCAGGAUGAACGCUGGCGGCGUGCCUAACACAUGCAAGUCGAGCGAUUACUUCGGUAAAGAGCGGCGGACGGGUGAGUAACGCGUGGGUAACCUGCCUCAUACACAUGGAUAACAUACCGAAAGGUAUGCUAAUACAGGAUAAUAUAAGAGAUUCACAUGGAUUUCUUAUCAAAGCUCCGGCAGUAUGAGAUGGACCCGCGUCUGAUUAGCUAGUUGGUAAGGUAAUGGCUUACCAAGGCGACGAUCAGUAGCCGACCUGAGAGGGUGAUCGGCCACAUUGGAACUGAGACACGGUCCAAACUCCUACGGGAGGCAGCAGUGGGGAAUAUUGCACAAUGGGCGAAAGCCUGAUGCCAGCAACGCCGCGUGAGUGAUGAAGGCCUUCGGGUCGUAAAACUCUGUCCUCAAGGAAGAUAAUGACGGUACUUGAGGAGGAAGCCCCGGCUAACUACGUGCCAGCCGCUGC
rnacentral:rRNA from 1 species